GUCUGCAGCCAUACCACGGUGAACGUGCCUGAUCUCAUCUGAUCUCAGAAAUUCAGUAGGAUCGGGCCUGGUUAGUACUUAGCUAGGAGACUGCCAGGGAAUACCUGGUGCUGUAGGCU
rnacentral:rRNA from 1 species